rnacentral:rRNA from 1 species
UACAGAGGUCUCAAGCGUUGUUCGGAUUCAUUGGGCGUAAAGGGCGCGUAGGCGGCGGGGUCAGUCGGGUGUGAAAUCUUGGGGCUUAACCCCGAAACGGCACUCGAAACUGCCCGGCUGGAGGGCCGGAGAGGAGAUCGGAAUUCACGGUGUAGCAGUGAAAUGCGUAGAGAUCGUGAGGAAGACCCGUGGCGAAAGGCGGAUCUCUGGACGGCUAACUGACGCUGAGGCGCGAAGGCCAGGGGAGCAAACGGGG